AGUGCACAAAGCCUUAGUUUUUGCACAUACAUAGAGAGAAAAAUAUGGGAAUGGAGUCUGGAAUUGUCUGGGACAAAAGAAAAAUGAAGACUACAGAAAACACCUGAGCUACAACAAGCAGGGGAUAUCUCCAGACCCAAUGGCCUGGGCACAGAGUUCCCACAAUGCAGGAAGCAGAGAGAGUGGAGUGCUUAUGAUUUCACGAAGAAGAUCAAAAUGCUUUGAAAGACAAGGAAACAUUAAUCUAUGUACGAGUGAUUGAGAACAGCACAAGAGUGAGCUCAGUGGUGAUCCUAACAUGUUUACGUAAGUAUGAGUCAUUUCUUCCUACAUAUAAGGAUACUGAGUGGGAUUUCUCACACAUGGUACUGAGUUUCUGUCUCUAGAUAUCAGCCAGACUCCCAGGAAAUCCAAUUAAGUUAGCCUGCUCAGUUACACAACUGAAUUUACCAAAUGGUAAAAGUAUUCGUCAAUAAUUAUGCCAAGAUAAUAGUGCUAAUUUAAAUACUGAAGUUCUAGUACUUUGAAAUAAUAGACAGUAAUUGUCAAUAUUGGCAGAACCCUUCAUAUUCACAAUAGAAGGAUAUUGUGUGUACCAAUUAUAUUAUUUUCCCUCUCUUCUGUCCUUUUUCCACAUUAACAUAUUCCCAGGCUUUAUCAUCACUAAUCUAAGGUAAAUACGUUAGCAUUUUUCUUUUAUUGUUUUCACAUACUGGGGACAAGCUAUGCUUCCCUUUGUAAGUCUGGCUUAUUUUGCUUAAUAGGCUAGUCCUCUCUUUUAUCCAUUUGCUGCAAAUAAUGACUUUAUUCUUCAAAAUUAGCACAUUUUAUUCAACAGUUCUACCAUAUCAUCUUUAUCCAAUUAUUUGUAUUGUUCAUAGAUUUAUAAGAGCCUAUAUUCUAAUUUCUGAAGUAGACAUAACGAGAUUAUACGUACUUGUGUUUUCUAUAUUUUAAUAAUUUAUUUUGGCAUUUACACUUUUAACAUUUAUUUUAUUUCAUUAUUUUUGACUAUGUGUGUGGGCAUGCAAGCCUGCGAGCAUGUGUAUGUGUGUAUGUAUAUAUGUGUCUGCUUGUGGGUAUGUGACUUGGAGUGCAGAUGUCUCAGAGAGACCAGAGGCAUUGAUUGCAGGCAAUUGUGAUCUACCAAAUAUGAGUUCCAGAAACCAAAUUCAGGUUCCUUGCAGGAACGAUAAGUGUUGUCAACUGCUUAACUACAUCCUUAGUUCCUACUAAUAAAUCUUUUUAAAAUAAGAUUUAUAGAAGCCUCUGGCCCUACAAGAGGCCAUGCUGGUACCUUAAGUAAGACCCCACCAAUUGACCACAAACACUCUCAAAGUCCACCCAGCUUUCUCCAUCAGUUCCCUCUACACUCACUCACCUUAAUAGAGCCUAUAACUCCAUCAGAAACCACUGCUAAUUCAGAGUUCAUGCAGUUAUCUAGAACCACAGAU